rnacentral:tRNA from 1 species
GCCCCAUUGGCGGAAUUGGUAGACGCGCUUGACUCAAAAUCAAGUGUCCAAAAGGCGUGCUGGUUCGAGUCCGGCAUGGGGCACCA